rnacentral:rRNA from 1 species
AGGGCACUACCAGGAGUGGAUCCUGCGGCUCAAUUUGACUCAACACGGGAAAGCUCACCUGGUCCGGACACUGGAAGGAUUGACAGAUUAAGAGCUCUUUCUUGAUUCAGUGGGUGGUGGUGCAUGGCCGUCCUUAGUUGGUGGAGCGAUUUGUCUGGUUAAUUCCGAUAACGAACGAGACUCUAGCCUACUAAAUAGGUGUUCCGAUCCCAUCAGUCGGACGCUCUUCUUAGAGGGACAAGCGGCGUUUAGCCGCACGAGACAGAGCAAUAACAGGUCUGUGAUGCCCUUAGAUGUCCGGGGCCGCACGCGCGCUACACUGAAGGAACCAGCGUGUGUCCCUGUCCGGCAGGACUGGGUAAUCCGUUGAACCUCCUUCGUGAUAGGGAUAGGGGCUUGUAAUUGUUCCCCUUGAACGAGGAAUUCCCAGUAAGCGUGAAUCAUCAUGUCACGUUGAUUACGUCCCUGGCCUUUGUACACACCGCCCGUCGCUACUACUGAUUGGAUGAUUUAGUGAGG